UCAGAACUUCUGAACGAUUUUAUAUAUAUUUUGACUCAUUGAAAAAUUUUAAUAUUUCUUUAAUUUUCUAAUAAUGAGAAGGUCAUUACUUUCAACAAUUUUUCACUCAUUUGACUUUUGGUAUGGAAGAUGGAUGCCCUCCAGGAAUAUUUAUUAAUGAAAUUUAUGCACGAAACGGCACAGGAAAAGAGGAAACCAUUUGUGGAUUGCACCAGGUCAGAAUGAGUUCCUCUGUGUCCUACUAGACGUUGUUUGGUUACCAAAUUUAUGGGUCCUUCAUAUAACGAAGAAAAUAAUAAUCUUCUGCAAUCACUUUUAGAGUUAAAGGCCAGUGCACCAGCGGAUCGGCUAACAUUUUCAAUUGAAGUAAAGGGACAAGCGGAUACUUACGAAGAAGCAAUGCAGAAAUUGGCUCGUUUAGAAGUGACAGAAUUCGUAUUCACGACAGACUCUGAGGUUGAUCCUCACAGAGAAGCUGAUAUUAUAUAAAACAAAUUGAAAACCAAAAAAUUGAAUAUUACAGAAAAUACAAAAAAAGUUAUUAAUUCUGCACCUGCUAUGGAAUCGGACUAGGACACUUAUUCACCACAAUAUGAUAUCACAGACUCAGACUCAUCAUGUGCUUAAAAAAAGACAAACAUUAAGACUAUAAAGAAGAAAAACAAAGAUAAAAAGCGGAAGUUUCCAAAACUUUCAACAAAAUGUUUACCCGCACUAAAAAAAAUUAGAGGGAUGAAAAACCCCAAGUACAUUACAGACUUUAAGUAACGUUAGUACAAAUAGUACUAAGUCUUUUAAAAAAUUUGAAAAUCGCACUGAUUUAUCUUUGAAGAAUAGUGAAGUGAAAGCAAAUAGAAAUAGUACGAAAUUGAUAGAAGAACAAGACUUUAUUAAUAACGAUAAACUAGGGAAUAAUUUAGAUGUUCCUAAAAAGAAAAAAGUUUUGAGGAAAGAUGGUCAUCAACUAAUUUAUUAAUAUUCAUUAAUUAUAUUAUCUUCCUCUUGUUUUAUCAGCGUUGAAGGGACUAUCUGUCGACGUACAGGAAAUUUUAGCAAAUCAGAGGUCCAUUUUACUUCAUUUAGGACAAAGAGAAACGGCUACAAAAAAUUUAUUUACUGACAAGUACAAACUAGAAAUACCAUUUCAGAGUACUGAACAAUUUGAUGAGUUUAACGAAAAAUUGAUGAUGAGUUUCGGACAGAAUUUUCGUUUUCUUUACAUUACCUCUUUGAUCGAGAGUUAAAUGCAUCAAAAACUUUAACAAAUGUUUUAAAGAAAUAUCUCAGCCGAAAUGUGAUACUGAAAUUUACGGCAAAGAAAACGAUUUCUGGCAAACUGAUCCUGAAGGGAACUUAUUUUUAUGAGUGUAUCUCAGGUGUGAUUAUACAGACUCACGGACGUCCUGAUGAAAAGCCAUUAACUGAGGAUAACAUUUGAUGUUUAAUUAAUAAAGUUUUUAAUAAUGCUAAGGACUGGGAGCGUGAGAAGCAGAAAAAAGAGUUGCUUUGCAAAACAGACUGUGCGAUAAAUCAGUUCGGGGUAAGGCCA